GGAUAUGGGGGCAAUUUGGCUGCAACGUGUAACACCCCAUCAAUCACCAGGGUUGAUUCAUCUGAUAUGAUUCCUAAGAGGCUGUCCCCAUCCCCCUCUCAUUUCCUUGACUUCUCUUUCAAAGAGAAGAGAAAGAGAAUACUCUACUCAGAAAAGAUCCCUGCUUCAGUCAAGAUCCUAUGAAUGGCUGUUUCUGCAAGAUCCUUGAGCUCAAAGAAUCUCUCUCCUUUGAAUUCCAAUUAAGAAUAUGAGUCAGGUGAUCAUCAACCAUGACCAUCAUCAACUGAUGAUCAGCUGCCU
rnacentral:snRNA from 1 species